rnacentral:rRNA from 1 species
GACGAACGCUGGCGGCGUGCUUAACACAUGCAAGUCGAGCGGUAAGGCCCUUUCGGGGGUACGACGAGCGGCGAACGGGUGAGUAACACGUGGGUGACCUGCCCUCAGCUCUGGGAUAAGCCUGGGAAACCGGGUCUAAUACCGGAUAUGACUCCAUGACGCAUGUUGUGGGGUGGAAAGCCUUGUGCGGCUGAGGAUGGGCCCGCGGCCUAUCAGCUUGUUGGUGGGGUGAUGGCCUACCAAGGCGACGACGGGUAGCCGGCCUGAGAGGGCGGACCGGCCACACUGGGACUGAGACACGGCCCAGACUCCUACGGGAGGCAGCAGUGGGGAAUCUUGCGCAAUGGGCGAAAGCCUGACGCAGCGACGCCGCGUGAGGGAUGACGGCCUC